GGGCAUGUGAAGAUAAGGCGUUGUCUGUCUCUCUCUGCUGGACGUUCUAUCUAAGCAGCGUGGAUGUUGACAAGGCUCCUGGAAGGACAAGAGAAGGCACUACUUCUUCCUGCUGCCAUGUGAAGAAAGACCUGUUUGCUUCCCCUUUCAUCAUGAUUAAACCUCUACAUGGAUCCCUUGCAUGGGUGUUGUACAAUGGGAGCUUUCAUUCCUGCUUUGGCACCUGCAACCCUGGGUUAACAGUACCAUGGAGCGGAGAAAGCGUUUACCAGAGUGCGGUGCCGCGAUCCCACCCCGUGCAGCAGUUGAGCAGAGGUCAUCUUUAAGUAAAAGCCAUCUGAUAUUUUACUGCAAGCAUGUGGCAGUGAAGACGACAAUGACUGCUAGUAUGGUUUGUGCCACUGCCUUGAUUUCCGCUCAGGCACCAGCAGUCUUACCCACCAUUGCUUUGGUGCAGUUGGUGGAGAUAUCAAUGGAUCAAAAGCGCAAGUAAUAUGAGAGGCCAGGAAUCAACCAAAAGAGCAAGAAAAGAAGCCACUACAGUAAUGAGCUUCGGCUGCCUGCACCUCUUCCAGCCACAAAGGAAAAAAAAAUGAGAAAGCUGCCUCUAUUCUACUUCUUUUCAAAGCUGCCCAACUGUUAAUAUUUUAGUAAGUAAGAAGCAGUGUCUAAAUUCUCAUUCAAGUUCUCCCAUCCAUUGAGUUAAUAAUCUAAAUUAUAAGAAUAUUUAUUUUUCACAGGAUUAAGUAAACUUUUACUUAAUGUAAAAACAUGGCUCAUAAACAUUUGUAUUCUUCCCAAACUAAUCCAUAUGCCAACAUGCUUAUCUUUCUUCCCUGGGGUAGGAAACCAGGAGACUUUAUGAAAAUAUAUGAAUACAGGCACAUGGGUAUGUUUUUUCCAUGUGGUAGCUCAAAUAUGGUUCUUCCACCUCAAUCUCAAGCUCUCCAGACUGCAGACAUCUUAUCUACACAUCAAACUAGCAUUUAUUUUACCAAGGGCAUUGCUUCCCCUUUUCUAUCCCUUAUUUCAACAGACAGGAGAAGAAUAUCCAGAUAAAGGUCUCCAGGCAAACACACUAGAGAACCUGUAAAAGACUCUGAGGAUGUUUGACGCCUUGAGUCUCUACACUGAUGCCAUCAUCUUACUUCCUAAUCUCUGAUCUUUUCCAGGACUCGGCUCCCUAUGCCCAGUAAAUAUAAAUUUUCAGAACUGUGAUCACAGCCCUGGCUAAAUAGUGCCCCUGGUCAAACCUUCGUAGGCAAAAUGUUUUCUCCAGCUUUCUGCUAGUUCUUAGAAGCCAGUGUGAAGGAAAAGGGAUGUCAUGAAGCAUCACUCUCCAAGCUGAUCAUCUAUUCCAUUGCCUUGAGAAUUAUGUAGAAUAAAAUCACUGUCUCCCUAAAUGAUAAAAGUCUAAGACUUUGUCCCAAAGUUGGGUGUUCUCUGAGGAAUUGCUGGAGACACUAUUGCCCCCUGUGGCUAGGUAAGCUUUCCAGACACAAUCCAAGGGAAGGAAAUGCCUUUGGUGAAGGAGGAGAGACUCCUACGUGGCAUGGGGACCAGCAGCUGAGAGUGGUUGUAUGGGUAAUUCACACCAAAAGCACUCCAAAUGCUACUUUCAUCUAAAUGGACUAUAAGGGUUGUCAUCAGGCCAGGGAGAUGUAGAUAUUUCAAAUCUGAAUUUCACAGUAUUAGCAUUACAUCAAGCCAAAAAGAUUAAGAAAGUAAAUGACUGUAAUUUGUCUAAAGCAGAAUGUUUGCUAAAACCAGGCAGGUCUCUAAAAAAAAAAAAAAAGAGACAGCAGUUGAAAUUAUUUUGUAAAUGUUAAUUGUAUAAUUUACAUUAAACUCUUUC
ensembl:lncRNA LINC02694 long intergenic non-protein coding RNA 2694